rnacentral:lncRNA from 1 species
GAAGUACUCGCACGGGCUUGACUCGAAGGAGAAUGUCUGAGAGCCGGCUGUGAAUGGAGAGACUUUGAAGCCUUCCCAUGAUGAGCACUGCCCCCAGUGAGCUAGCUGUGAGUAGCUCACAAGGCUGUGACCGUCUUGGCUCAGGUCUAUGCCCAUGAAGCUGCUGUGUGUGUACCAUAUGAUGAAUACUCCCACCGUCGCUACUCCCACGUACAUACCAAUCACCUGUAGACAAAAGUUAACCCACAUUAUUAAUCAAGAGUUUCAAAAAAACAAGUGAGAAGAAUGUGUGUGUAGGCUCCCGUCCUCCGAGAGCGCGUUCAGUGAGUUGAACAUCUCAAUAGCCACCAACACCGAGAGGGAGAGCGUGGACGCUUUGAUCUUCCCCUGGUGGAAGUACUCGCACGGGCUUGACUCGAAGGAGAAUGUCUGAGAGCCGGCUGUGAAUGGAGAGACUUUGAAGCCUUCCCAUGAUGAGCACUGCCCCCAGUGAGCUAGCUGUGAGUAGCUCACAAGGCUGUGACCGUCUUGGCUCAGGUCUAUGCCCAUGAAGCUGCUGUGUGUGUACCAUAUGAUGAAUACUCCCACCGUCGCUACUCCCACGUACAUACCAAUCACC